CCUAACCCCCUUCCUGGAGAGAGCUUCUAUUGUCAUCUGGCGGACAGUGAAGGACGUUUCCCACCCAUCAUAGUACCAGCUGUUGAGGUCACCCCGGGAACAGUGUUUAGUUGUGAUAUUGAAGGACUGGUACCUGACUAUCCUGGAGUAUCUGCAACCAUUAACCUGGGAUUUCGGAGCUCUUUGCUCAAUGAGCCAUUUGAUAUCACCAACCAAGCACUCACCAUCUACAGGUGCUCAGGAGGAGAAAGCUGUAAGGAUUGCCUUGGGAUAAAUAGUCCGUGUGGAUGGUGUAACCUCAACAAGCAGUGCAGUGCAACAUCAGCUCCUUGCAGGAAUGCAUCUCACUUCCGACAGGUGUCUGGAGGCAAUGAUUUCGCUGCUGAGUGCCCCCUAUUGGACACGCCCCCCUCUGGUGAGUACACUCAACCAGUAAGGGUGGCCCAGGACCUUCGACUGACCACCAGGAACCUCAUCUCCCCUACAGAUGGCUUUGAGUACUAUUGUGUUGUGAAUGGAGUUAGUCUGACAGCUCAGUAUGAGAACGAGAGCUCCAUCCUGUGUACAGUGGGCAGUGGACAAGUGA